CCCGGGCCGCAGCCCCAUCGGCUGCUGGCGCUGCCGCUGCCGCUUCCCUGCCAGCCGGGGAUGUUGCCAGCAGUGGGCAGGGGCAUUGGGGGGAGGCAUACCCGGCUUCAUCCCGCCGGGUAGGAGCUGGAGGAGGGGUAACUGCCUCUCCCCGGGUGGGAGAUGACCCACAAUUGUGUACAGCCCCUCAGGUGUGAGCUGAACCACAAUUGGGGGCACCUCCUGAGGUGGGAUCGGACCCACCAUGGGGCUACCCCCUGCGGUGGGAGUGGGCCCACAGUUUGGGGUACCCCCUGAGGUGGGAGCUGACCCCCAGUAUAGGGCAUUGCCCCAAGGGGCAGCUCAACAUAGUUUGGGGCAUUGCCCCAGGUGGCAGCUGAGCCACUGCUGCGGGCAUUGCCCCAGCUGGCAGUUGAAGCACAGUUUGAGGCAUCGCCCCAGGUGGCAGCUGCGCUCCCUGUCCCUGCACACCCGGUACCCCCGGCUGGACAGAGGCCUGAGGCACCAUGGAGGUGACAUUGGGGGCAGGGAUGGGCUGGAAGGAUACGGGCACUGCUCCGCCAACGGUGGUCUGCAUGCAGCAGUGGCCGGUGGGGGCACAAAGGCUCCAAAUAAAGUUGCGUCGGGUGUCGGAAGCACCGUCAGCGAUGAAGGAAUUCUCUCUGUGGGGAAAUGCCCAAAUGGGCGCCGGGGUGAGAUGUGGGGCACUGGGACCCCCUGGAGGGCCGCAGUGCCAGGAGCAGGAGGAGCCUGCUGCCUUACCUGCCGUGGCAGCUCGAGAGUGGCAGUGGGGGGUUCCGUGAGCGCUGGGGUCAGCCCCUCUGCCCUGAGCUCACAGUGCCCCUCUGUGACGCUGUCCCGUGGUGUCACAGGCACUGCUCUGUGCCUGCCACGUCAUCAACUUGCUGUGGCUGCAGUCAUGCUGGUGACAGCAUGGGACGAGUGUGGGGAGCUAUGGCCUCUGCCCGUCUCAUACUCCUCCUCCUGAUGGCCACAACUUGCUAUAAAUUCGCUGCUGCUCCGUGGCGAGCACCAGGAGCAGGUGGGUGAGCAAAACGGAGCGGCACGGGGGGCACGAAGUCACUGCAAGGACAGAGCCUUUGGGGCUCCCCCUCCCGUUCUCUUCCCCUCCCCUCUCCAUCCCCUUUCCGUUCUCUUCCCCUCCCCGUCUCCAGACAGUUCCACACACGGACUGUUGUGUAUCAGCACGGUGCCACUGCAGGCGCCGCAGUCCACUCCUGGCCAAGCGCUGCUUCCAUCCGCUGUGGCUGUCCAGGUUUGUGCUGCAGCAAUAAAGAACGUUAAGAAAGAACUGUGUUGGCCGUGUCCCAUUGGGGUGCGCUGUCCCAGAA
ensembl:lncRNA